rnacentral:rRNA from 1 species
UACGGAGGUUGCAAGCGUUGUUCGGAAUAACUGGGCGUAAAGGGAGCGCAGGCGGCUUGAUAAGUCUAAAGUGAAAACCCAGGGCUCAACUCUGGACCUGCUUUGGAUACUGUCAGGCUUGAGUACGUGAGAGGAGAUUGGAAUUCCAGGUGUAGCGGUGAAAUGCGUAGAUAUCUGGAGGAACACCGGUGGCGAAAGCGGAUCUCUGGCACGUUACUGACGCUGAGGCUCGAAAGCGUGGGGAGCAAACGGG